rnacentral:lncRNA from 1 species
CCCAGGCCUACUUAGCAGAUGGCUGAGCUGAAUUCAGUAGGUGCUCAAGCUGUGCGAGGCACGGAGCGAGGGUUCUGAACCCUGGCUGUCCAAACACAGCCUCUGGUCUCUGCCCCUGAGCCACGGCCACCUGGCUAGUGCCCAGCAGAGCCCAGGGUCUCCUCCACAGGAGGGGGCAGGAGGCCUCCCCCCCAAAUCUGUGUCCAUCUGAACCUUGGAAAUGGCGUCUGCUGAUGGGAUCAGGGCACACUGGGAGGACCCCAGAUCUGACCGGUAUCCUCAGAAGGGGGGGACAGAGGACAGACGGCAUGAAGCUGGCGGAGAGCGGAGCGGGGUAGCCCUGAGCCUCAGCUGGCCACAGGCCACUAGAGAGCCCGGAAGCCGAGAGGCCAGGAGGGGUCCUCCCUCAAAGCCUCGGAGGGCGCAGCCCGCAACCCCUGGACCUUAGAUCCUAUCUCCAGGACUGCCAGGGGCCAGAGCUGUCACCUUAAGCUGCCCUGUUCGUGGUCAUUGGUCACAGCAGCCUGGGAAAUGCAUAGACCAAUUUUGAAAACAGAGGGCAUUCACAAGGUCCCCGGAGCUGUCCAGCAUGUCUGGGUGGCAGUCCGGGGCUCGGUCCCCAGCCACCAGCAAAGGGUGACUCUGUCCUUGGGGCUGCCGUCCUCCGCCCACGUCUCCCUCUCAGAUUGGAGAGGAUGGCAGAUGGCCAUCCUUUUUUGGCCUCUCAGAGUCCAGUGCCCAUUCUAGGUGCCCUUAGAUUUAUCUUGAGGGAAUUAUUUCCUCCUGGGUGACUGGGAUCUCCAGGAAAAUCCCUGAUGACUACCUCCUGUUAGAGAACUCCCCAGGACAGGUCCUGCCUCUCCCGGCCAUAGUGUGGCCGGAGAAUGGGUCACCUCUAAGCUCAGUCGGCUGGAUUUUCUUUCCUGUAUCACUGAGCAGGCCUGACCAGAGCAGGGUGGGCUGUGGACAGACAGACUCUUGCUUGCAGAGGCUGCUGUGGUCCACGCCACGGCCCCCACAGUGGCCUGGGCUCCUGCCCGAGUCCGAGUCUCCUCCUUUGGCCCAGAACCCAUUUCCCAACCAACCGUAUCCAGAUUUCCUGUUGGAAAUUGCCUUCCAUCACUGCGUGAGCAACGCCCACAGGUUAGCCAGACGGUUUCCGUUGCUUGCAACCGUGAACUCCAAGACGGCUAGAGAGGUUCAGCUCGGUCUGAGGACUAGGUUUUGUGACCGUGAACUCUAAGACAGCUAGAGAGGGUCAGCUCGGUCUGAGGACUAGGUUUUUCAGAACUCCUGAAUAAAAACGAACGAACAAAAAAAUCCCAAACACUAUAAAAAAUGUUAUCCAGAUUCUUAUGUCACCGAUCGCAGUGUGAAUCAGCUCCAUCACUUUGGAAACCUGCGUAGCAGUAUCCGCUGAAGCUGAGUUACUUGGGC